rnacentral:rRNA from 1 species
AAACUAACAAGGAUUCCCCUAGUAACUGCGAGUGAAGCGGGAAAAGCUCAAAUUUAAAAUCUGGCAGCUUUGCUGUCCGAGUUGUAGUCUAGAGAAGUGCUAUCCGUGCUGGCCUGUGUACAAGUCCCUUUGAACAGGGCAUCAUAGAGGGUGAUAAUCCCGUCUCUGACACAGACUCCCAGGACUUUUGUGAUGCGCUCUCAAUGAGUCGAGUUGUUUGGGAAUGCAGCUCUAAAUGGGUGGUAAAUUCCAUCUAAAGCUAAAUAUAGGCGAGAGACCGAUAGCGAACAAGUACCGUGAGGGAAAGAUGAAAAGAACUUUGGAAAGAGAGUUAAACAGUACGUGAAAUUGCUAAAAGGGAAACGCUUGAAGUCAGUCAUGUUGGCUGGGGAUCAACCUUGCUUUUGCUGGGUGUAUUUCCUGGUUUACAGGUCAGCAUCAGUUUUGAUCACCAUACAAAGACUCAGAGAAUGUGGCAUCUCCGGAUGUGUUAUAGCUUUGGGAUCACAUGUGGUGGUUGGGACUGAGGAAUGCAGCACACCUUUAUGGUCGGGGUUCGCCCACGCUUGUGCUUAGGAUGCUGACAAAAUGGCUUUAAUCGACCCGUCUUGAAACACGGACCAAGGAGUCUAACAUGCCUGCGAGUGUUUGGGUGGAAAACCCAUGCGCGUAAUGAAAGUAAAAGUUGAAAUCCCUGUCGUGGAGAGCAUCGACGCCCGGACCAGACCUUUUGUGACGGAUCUGCGGUUGAGCAUGUAUGUUGGGACCCGAAAGAUGGUGAACUAUGCCUGAAUAGGAUGAAGCCAGAAGAAACUCUGGUGGAGGUCCGUAGCGAUUCUGACGAGCAAAUCGAUAAUCAAAUUUNNNUAUAGGGGCGAAAGACNNNNNNNNNNNNNNNNNNNNNNNNNNNNNNN